UUAAACUCUGUCCUUCAUACGCAUCUUAAUUCGCAGAUGACAUUAUUUAAAAUGCUAGAGCAUUAUGAGCGUUGUCUUUCGACACGACGCUUGAAUGAGACGGUCCUAAACAUCGUGUCCUUGCAGUCCGUUCCAUAUACAGAGCCGGAUGCUUCAAGUCUUGAGGUACACGCUGCAAUGGUUUUCACAUCUAGUGUGUUUAAGUUGGUCAGAUAUAGCUUAGAUGCUGUCAGCAAAUGUUUUAUGAGCAAUAUACUAGAUGGAAGUGACCUAGAUGGAUCCGACUUGGUUACGUUUGUUGUGGCUAAGAAGGAUAGAUGAGAGAAGAAGUUUGAAGUGCGCUGUGUGGAGAAACAAGGCUCUCCGUACAGGAUCAGUUGCUCUUGCCGUAAGCUGGAAUGCGUAGGCACACCAUGCUCCCACAUACUGUACGUAUUAGGAACAAUUAAAGCAAAAGAACUUCCUAUGUGCUGUGUUCCCACCAGGUGGACGAUGAGUGCAAGGUCUGCAUACCCUCUUCCGAGCAGAAAUAGUGGCAUGUAUGACUAUUCGAAAAGCCCGAUGAGGUACCGUGAGUUGCGGAAAUUGAGUCAUGCGGCAUGUUUCAGGGCAUGUCAGUCGGACGAGGCGUACCAUCGUCUUGAGAUGGUUCUGAAAGCACCAGACGACAGCAUGGAAUCAACUAGUGGUCAGAAUGAAUCUAUUAGGUUUGGCCCGGUGCUGCCUCUAACUGAGCAAACUGUUCCUGGGGAUUUGGGGAAGGUUCUGGAUCCCUUGUGUGUGCAAGGCCGAGGUGCGCCGAAGAAAAGGCUGCAGGCAAAGAUGAAGAAGCCAAGAUCAAAGGGCAAAUGUGGCUAUUGCGGGGACGAGGGUCACAAUGUUCGUACAUGCAAAAAGUUGAAAGAGGUAGAAAAUAUAUCUGAUCUUGUUUCGUGUGUGUGCAUUAGUCAUUAAUGUGGUGUGUGCCAUUAAUGGUUGCUUCUGUUGUGUAGGACAACAAGCUACGAGAAGAAGCUUUAUGACGAGUGCAUUUGAAGUCUGAUCGUAGAGGUAUUAUUCUUGUCUGAUCUCUGUGCUUCACUUUCUAUCAACUUGUCAGUGAUUUCAAGAAAAAAGAAAAAGAAAACAUGUUAUCUCUGUAUAGGUGGAAGCAUCUUGCGUAAAUUUUAAUUUCAAUAACUUUGGCUAGUUCAUCACUUAUAAAUUUGUUUUGUGUUUGCUUGAACAUAUUUACCAGCUUGUUCAUUGUAAAAAUUUCAGAGGGUUCAUUGGUGCCCACCUCGCUGUUUCUUGCUUUCCUGCAAUGGGGAGGGAGGACCAACUUCAUCCUCGCCCUUCUCCAGCAAAUCCCUGAGGUUCAGGGCAGUCCGUGUGUGUUUAUAACGUUUAUGUCUUGCUGCUCCUAUUUGUUAUCGUCUAAAUACUGCUAGAUCAUACUUUGUGAAACAUUUAUAACGUUUAUGUCUUGCUGCUCCUAUCUGGUUGUGCUUUGGGGUAUUUUUGUGCUGUACAAUGAAAAACCAUAGGUAGAAAUAAUGAUUGAUUUAAUUCUUUUGUAA